UUUCCUAGCCGCCACUUCCUUCUUCCUUGUCUCUUCUUCCCCCCGGCAGCUCCACGCUCCCUGCCCAUGGCGUCUUCCUCUCCUCUCCCACGGCUGCAGCUGGGAGCUCGGCUCCUCCCCUUCUUCUUCCUCAAGCAGCAGGCGCCUCUCCCCUUCAGGCAUGGUGGUAGCUCCUCCUCUCUCUGGUUUUUACCGCACGAGCAGGAGCUCCCUGGGAGCACGCCGACGCCCCUGAUCCCCCAUUGGCCACGACCUUCUCUGCUCUUCUCCAUGGCCGGCGAGCAGCCCAGCAGCGAGCUCCUCCCCCUUUGCUGUCUUCUCCAACGCGCAGAAACUUCAGGGUCGCCCAGCUCUCCCACUCCAUGGGCGCGAGCUCCUCCUUCUUCCCAUGGAUGGCGCCCUGAUUUCUCCAGCAGCCCAAUGGCGUCCCUGUCCAUGGCGCCCCUGCAAUCUCCCUUUCCUCCCCGCGGCCAGCAAUGGCGCGGUGCCCCCUGCUUCUUCCUCCCGCAGCAAGGCAGCAAGCAGCCAUUCCCAUGGCCGAGCUCACCUCCCUGCCGCGAGCUCGCCAACAAUCUCCCCCACUCAGACCUCCAUUCCCCUUGCUGCUGCUCGUCGCGAGCUCUCUCUGGCUCCUUCCCCAAGUCCGGCUGGAGCUUGCCUCCUCCAUGGCCGGCGCCCAGCCGCAACUCCAAGCUCCCUGCACCCUCCUCCUCCAACGCCGGCCACCAAUUCACCAUCUCCAGCCGCGCGUCUUGCUCCUCCCUGCUCCCAGCCAGGGCGCCCAGAAAAUCCCCCAGCCGAGCCCCCUCCUCGCUGUCCUCCGUGGUGCCCGCCGGUUGUUCGACAAAAUGCGCAGCAAGCUCCGUCGUCGAUCUGUGCAGCCCCUAUUUGGUUGUCGUUCUGCCUCUGUCAACCUCCUCCGUGCACGUGCAACAGCAGCCGCUGCCCCUUCGCGUCGAGUGUGCCGACACGGAUCUACGCAGUCCCGACGCGAUGUUGUCAAACUCCGCCCCUUGCCGUCGUCAUGCCUCACGCAUCGCUCGUCGGCAAAGAGCCCAAACUAAUGGCAUGCCCGCGCGACAUGAGUCGGCCAGGUUGUUCGCCUUGAAUGA